GUCUAUGGCCAUACCACCCUGAACGCACCCAAUCUUGUCUGAUCUCAGAAGUUAAGCAGGGUCGGGCCUGGUUAGUACUUAGAUGGGAGAAAUCAGUACAGCUAUUUGUA
ensembl:rRNA 5S_rRNA 5S ribosomal RNA